rnacentral:rRNA from 1 species
AGAGUUUGAUCCUGGCUCAGGAUGAACGCUAGCGGCAGGCCUAACACAUGCAAGUCGAGGGGUAACAGUUCCAAGCAAUUGGAAGCUGACGACCGGCGCACGGGUGCGUAACGCGUAUGCAACCUACCUUUAACUGGGGGAUAGCCCGGAGAAAUCCGGAUUAAUACCCCAUAAUAUUCAAAAUGGGCAUCCAUUUUGAAUUAAAGCUUCGGCGGUUUUAGAUGGGCAUGCGUGGCAUUAGUUAGUUGGUGAGGUAACGGCUCACCAAGACAAUGAUGCCUAGGGGUUCUGAGAGGAUUUUCCCCCACACUGGUACUGAGACACGGACCAGACUCCUACGGGAGGCAGCAGUGAGGAAUAUUGGUCAAUGGACGCAAGUCUGAACCAGCCAUGCCGCGUGCAGGAUGACGGCCCUAUGGGUUGUAAACUGCUUUUAUAUGGGAAGAAACCUUUCUACGUGUAGAGAGCUGACGGUACCAUACGAAUAAGGACCGGCUAACUCCGUGCCAGCAGCCGCGGUAAUACGGAGGGUCCAAGCGUUAUCCGGAUUUAUUGGGUUUAAAGGGUGCGCAGGCGGAUUUGUAAGUCAGUGGUGAACUCCCCCGGCUCAACCGGGGAACUGCCAUUGAUACUGCUAAUCUAGAGUACAGUUGAAGUAGGCGGAAUGUAGCAUGUAGCGGUGAAAUGCAUAGAGAUGCUACAGAACACCGAUUGCGAAGGCAGCUUACUAAGCUGUAACUAACGCUCAGGCACGAAAGCGUGGGGAGCAAACAGGAUUAGAUACCCUGGUAGUCCACGCCGUAAACUAUGAUUACUCGUUGUUGGCAAUAUAUCGUCAGCGACUGAACGAAAGUAUUAAGUAAUCCACCUGGGAAGUACGAUCGCAAGGUUGAAACUCAAAGGAAUUGACGGGGGCCCGCACAAGCGGUGGAGCAUGUGGUUUAAUUCGAUGAUACGCGAGGAACCUUACCUGGGCUUAAAUGUUAGACGACAGUUUCGGAAACGAAAUCUCCCUUCGGGACGUCUUACAAGGUGCUGCAUGGUUGUCGUCAGCUCGUGCCGUGAGGUGUCGGGUUAAGUCCCAUAACGAGCGCAACCCCUAUUCUUAGUUGCCAUCAGGUCAUGCUGGGGACCCUAAGAAAACUGCCUACGCAAGUAGUGAGGAAGGUGGGGAUGACGUCAAAUCAGCACGGCCCUUAUGUCCAGGGCUACACACGUGCUACAAUGGCCGGUACAGAGGGUCGCUACCUGGUGACAGGAUGCUAAUCUCGAAAACCGGUCUCAGUUCGGAUCGAAGUCUGCAACUCGACUUCGUGAAGCUGGAAUCGCUAGUAAUCGCACAC